UUUGUGAUGUGGGCCCUGUGGUGUGAGGUAGUUUCUCAUCCUCUUUGUGAUGUUGGCCCUGUGGUCUGAGGUGGUUUCUCAUCCCCUUUGUGAUGUGGGCUCUUUGGUGUGAGGUG